AUUGAACGCUGGCGGCAUGCCUUACACAUGCAAGUCGAACGGUAACGCGGGGCAACCUGGCGACGAGUGGCGAACGGGUGAGUAAUGUAUCGGAACGUGCCCAGUAGUGGGGGAUAGCCCGGCGAAAGCCGGAUUAAUACCGCAUACGACCUACGGGUGAAAGGGGGGGAUCGCAAGACCUCUCGCUAUUGGAGCGGCCGAUAUCAGAUUAGGUAGUUGGUGGGGUAAAGGCUCACCAAGCCGACGAUCUGUAGCUGGUCUGAGAGGACGACCAGCCACACUGGGACUGAGACACGGCCCAGACUCCUACGGGAGGCAGCAGUGGGGAAUUUUGGACAAUGGGCGCAAGCCUGAUCCAGCCAUGCCGCGUGCGGGAAGAAGGCCUUCGGGUUGUAAACCGCUUUUGUCAGGGAAGAAAUCUUCUGGAUUAAUACUUCGGAAGGAUGACGGUACCUGAAGAAUAAGCACCGGCUAACUACGUGCCAGCCGCCGCGGUAA
rnacentral:rRNA from 1 species